rnacentral:rRNA from 1 species
CGGACAGUGUCUGGUGGGUAGUUUGACUGGGGCGGUCUCCUCCUAAAGAGUAACGGAGGAGCACGAAGGUUGGCUAAUCCUGGUCGGACAUCAGGAGGUUAGUGCAAUGGCAUAAGCCAGCUUGACUGCGAGCGUGACGGCGCGAGCAGGUGCGAAAGCAGGUCAUAGUGAUCCGGUGGUUCUGAAUGGAAGGGCCAUCGCUCAACGGAUAAAAGGUACUCCGGGGAUAACAGGCUGAUACCGCCCAAGAGUUCAUAUCGACGGCGGUGUUUGGCACCUCGAUGUCGGCUCAUCACAUCCUGGGGCUGAAGUAGGUCCCAAGGGUAUGGCUGUUCGCCAUUUAAAGUGGUACGCGAGCUGGGUUUAGAACGUCGUGAGACAGUUCGGUCCCUAUCUGCCGUGGGCGCUGGAGAACUGAGGGGAGCUGCUCCUAGUACGAGAGGACCGGAGUGGACGCAUCACUGGUGUUCGGGUUGUCAUGCCAAUGGCACUGCCCGGUAGCUAAAUGCGGAAGAGAUAAGUGCUGAAAGCAUCUAAGCACGAAACUUGCCCCGAGAUGAGUUCUCCCUGAGACUUAGAGUCUCCUGAAGGAACGUUGAAGACGACGACGUUGAUAGGCCGGGUGUGUAAGCGCAGCGAUGCGUUGAGCUAACCGGUACUAAUGAACCGUGAGGCUUAACCUUACAACGCCGAAG